rnacentral:pre_miRNA from 1 species
AAUGUAAUUGCUGGGUUGUGUGGUAAGUCCAUUUUUAGUUCUUAAAAGAACUGCCAGACUCUUUUCCAGAGUAGCUGUACAAUUUUAUAUUCCCACUAGAAAU